UAGGGAAUCUUCGGCAAUGGACGAAAGUCUGACCGAGCAGCGCCGCGUGAGUGAAGAAGGUUUUCGGAUCGUAAAACUCUGUUGGUAGAGAAGAACGUUGGUGAGAGUGGAAAGCUCAUCAAGUGACGGUAACUACCCAGAAAGGGACGGCUAACUACGUGCCAC
rnacentral:rRNA from 1 species